AUCGGACGGUCCGCGGUAUCCGCUCCCCGCGAGAGCCUCCACUGGUCGGGCUCGUGAUGAGUGACUGGAGGAGUUAUUUCUGUCCCAAACACAUGGAACGCCACUGGCCCCACAUCGUACCAGGACUAAGGCGCUGUGUCUGCUACACAGCAACUCCCCAUCUCUCCCUCCACCCAGCUCUGGCGACCUCCACUUGCCGUUUUGUUUCGAUGGACCGCCUGCUUCAGUUACUUCAUAAACGUGGAAUCAUACGGUAUCUUUUCGUGACUGGCUCACUGCCCUCAGCAGCGAGUCCUCGAGCUCCAUUCGUGCUGCAGGCAAGGCUGCGGAGAAGCUGGACCGCUCGGAACACUGCCGGUGGGGAUGCAACAUGGUGCAGGGGCUGGGCAAAGCAGAAAAAAAAGUUAAAACACGGAAUUGUGACUUGGCAAUUCGACGCCUAGAUAUAUACCCAAAAGAAUGAAAAGUACCUACUCAAGCAAAUGUACGUAUACACAUGUUCAUAGCAACACUACUGACGAGAGCCAGAAGGUGGGGUCAGCCCCAAUGUCCAUCAAUGGAUGAAUGGAUAAGCAAACAGGGACAUAUACGCACAAUGAAUUAUGCAGCUGUAAAAGGAAAGAAGUAUUGCUACGUGGUGCGUGAGCCUCGAAAACACCGUGCUAAGUGAAAGAAGCCAGGCACGAAAAGGCACAUACUGCACGAUUCCAUUUAGUCGAGAAAUCCCGAAUAGGUAAAUCCAUAGAGACAGAAAGCAGAUUGGUGGUUGCCAGGGGCCGGGGGGAGAGGGAAGUGCAGAGGGACUGCUUAAUGGGUGUCGGAUUUCCUUUGGGGGGAUGGAAAUGUUUCAGAACUAGAUAGAGUUGUGGUUACACAACACUGUGAAUGUACUAAAUGCCGCUGAAUUGUACACUUUGCAAAGGUUAAUUUUAUGUUCUGUGAAUUUCACUUUAAUAAAGGGAAUAUUGAAACGUC